AGGGCAGAGACGGUGGACGCGGCACGAAUUGAAGAACCUCAAAACGCCGCGGCAAGCGGCAUUGUGGCCGUUGAAUGGCGGGGUUGUAGCCCUCAAGCCGCAUCCAACCAUCACCAAAUGCACUAUGCGGGAAGCCAUCUCCGGUGAGGUGUCCGGCGUCCCCGAACUUCUCCAGGAUCCAACGGCCAUCGGAACCGGAGAUAUGGACAACGCUGAUUGAGGUGUUAGGAAUUUUCUUGCCAACCGAGAUCGUUGGAUCGGCGUGCCUGCAGAUUUCCUCUAUGACUGCCUCAUGGGAGACGACGACCACCCGCUCACCUUUUAACGCAACACGCGACAGCUUGAAAUUCACCACCAGGUGCAAGUUUUGACCAUAUAGAGAGCACAAGAAAUUACUAUGUGGAUUAGUGCUUACCCUUGUGCUUCUUGGCGAUUUCGUUCAAGCGGGAAACACAACGCUCAGAAAGUUGAUCAAGACUCUCCCCGCCACCCUGUCCAAAGGAGAUGACUAGUGAGUAAUAUAUAGCAACCAACAGGGGAAAAGCAUGCCUAAGCCUAGCUUUUACUUCGACUAAGACUAAGUACAACUUUGAGAGGAGAAUGGAAAUUAGUUACAGGUAUUUCUUGGUCUCUGCCACCGCAUGCGAAAGCCUUGUAAGCUUCAGAUCUCUUGGCAUCGUCAAUGGUCCAACCUUGGAACAAUCCCAUGUGCCUUUCCGUCAGUGCCCGAUCAAUCACCAGCUGAAACAAACAGCAGCCCAUUUAUUCAUGAAGCGAGAAAAAUUAGCACAAACUAUUACUAGUAUUCAAAGAAUGUUCAUACAUCAGAAUCAGAUACGCAGCAAUGCUCUGCGAUCGUUUGCGCAGUCUCGGAAGCACGCUUCAAGUCAGAGGAGUAGACGGCAGCUGGCUUGGCUUCUUCCGACAGACGACGGGCAACCUUGAGGGUUUGAACAAAAUCAGAAUCACGUACAUAUCUCAAGUCAUGACGAUCUCACAAAGUAUGGCGUACCUUGGCAGCUUGCUGCCUACCAGUUUCGUUCAGCUCCUGAUCGAUCCGUCCCUGUUGAAACUUAAAAUAAGCCUUAACACAUGUUGUAUUGCAUCGCAGAGGGAGAAUCAUAUCUAAGUGAUGCGAUAAGUAGCAAGCUGUGACAGGACAGGAUGAAGAAGAAGCGACCUGAAUGAUGCGGGAGACGUUCCAAUCCGUCUGUCCAUGGCGCACCAACACCACCUCCGCGAAGUGCUCGCCAUGCGGCGAUGCAGGUGCCAUUGAUCGAUCGGCCGGCGUUAUUGCUGCAGAGGGAACGAAGGGGAGAUGGAUGGUCUUGCUCUAGCUGGCUUGCAGAGGUUCCUUGAAAUCUGGAACCUCUCUGCUCUCUUGUGCUAUAUGAUUGGCCAUCUGGGGCGACUUCAUAGGAGGCCAGAGAGGCCAGAGAGUAGAUUAUAAUUCGUGUACGUUUUGAAGAUGGAAAGAUGGCGACCUGCUAGUUGACUAAUAAAUUAGAAACACGGUUUGAUUUGGUUUGGUUUCGAGAGCAAUUUUGGUUUAGUUUGGUUUCAAGAGCAAUUUGAGCAACAACACCCAUUCCAACAGCAGGUUCGGCUUCUCCAGCAAGUACGUGGCCAACUAAGCUGGUCGGCGGACCAAAUUAAAGAAGCUAUCCACUUUCUUCUCCAUCAAGAUACCCUGUGCUAUAUAAUUACCCCCAUCCACAUCAAGAUACCCUGUGCUAUAUAAUUACCCCCAUCCACUUGUCAUCUGCGUUCUUAAUAUUUCUCAGAGUUGACUGUAAUCUCAUCUUGGUUUAUUUAAGUUGGAAAGAUAAUUGCCUGCUAUUUAAGAAAAAAAAACACGGGAAGAGCAACAGCGCGUUUGGUUUCUGCUCCAAGUCUAAAGUCUUCCAAGUUUGUGGAAUCAUUAGAAUGCUGAUGAUUGCUAUUCAGCCAAGCAAAGGAAACGCGGUUGCAGAGUGAUGAUACAUCCAAGUUCAUGACAUUUAUACUAGAGCACACGCCCAAGAAAAUGGCAAUGUAAAAACACGGAGAGGCGGAGGCAGUCGGCGGCCGCAGUGAGAGGUGUGCGAGCGCGAGGGCGGAGGUGGCGGACGCGGCACGAAUUGAAGAACCUCAAAACGCUGCGGCAAGCGGCAUCGCGGCCGAUGAACGGCGGGGUUGUACCCCUCAAGCCCCAUCCAACCAUCACCAAAUGCACUAUGCGGGAAGCCAUCUCCGGUGAGGUGUCCGGCGUCCCCGAACUUCUCCAGGAUCGAACGGCCAUCGGAAUCGGAGACAUUUACAACGCUGAUUGAGGUGUUAAGAAUUUUUCUGCCAACCGAGAUCGUUGGAUCGGCGUGCCUGCAGAUUUCCUCUAUGACUGCUCAUGGGAGACGACGACCACCCGCUUACCUGUUAACGCAACACGCGACAGCUUAAAAUUCACCACUAGGUGCAAGUUUUAACCAUACAGAGAGCACAAGAAAUUACUAUGUGGACCGGUGCUUACCCUUGUGCUUUUCGGCGAUUGCGUUCAAGCGGGACACAGCGCUCGGAAAGUUGAUCAAGACUCUCCCCGCCACCCUGUCCAAAAGGAGAUGACUAGUGAGUAAUAUAUAGCUUUUACUUUAACUAAGACUAAGGUCCCGUUUGGUAGGGCUUCUCAAAGUGCUUCUCCACCGGUUUUUGGUGAAGUCCUACUAAUGGGUCAAUUUCAAAACGGCUUCACCACCAAAGCCAGGGAGAAGCCGCAAAACGGCUUACACUAGAGAGGAGAAGCCAAAAAAAGUGGCUUCACCGGCUUCUCCUCCCUCUCCAAGCAUUAAGUGAUCAUAAAAUUACAUAUAUUGCCAUUGAGAAGCCGUUUUACCAAAUGUUUUGCAAAAUGGCUUCAGCUUCACUAAAAAAGCCACUCCACCGAAAAAGCCGAAGCCGAAGCGGAAAUUACAUAUAUUGCCAUUGAAAAAUUACUAUGUGGAUCGGUGCUUACCCUUGUGCUUCUCGGCGAUUGCAUUCAAGCGGGAAACACAGCGCUCGGAAAGUUGAUCAAGACUCUCCCCACCACCCUGUCCAAAAGGAGAUGACUAGUGAGUAAUAUAUAGCUUUUACUUCAACUAAGACUAAUUAAGUACAACUUUGAGAUCAGAGGAGAAUGGAAAUUAGUUACAGAUAUUUCUUGGUCCUGCCACCGUGAGCGAAAGCCUUGUAAGCUUCAGAUCUCUUGGCAUCGUCAAUGGUCCAACCUUGGAACAAUCCCAUGUGCCUUUCCGUCAGUGCCCGAUCAAUCACCAGCUGAAACAAACAGAAGUCCAUUUAUUCGGAUGAUAUAUAGAACACCAAUAAUUCGUGAAGCGAGAAAAAUUAGCACAAACUAAUACUAGUAUUCAAAGAAUGUUCAUACAUCAGAAUCAGAUACGCAGCGCGAGGACGGAGGUGGCGGACUAGGCACAAAUUGAAGAACCUCGAACGGCCGCGGCUAGCGGCAUCGCGGCCGUUGAACGACGGGGUUGUAGCCCUCAAGCCGCAUCUAACCGUCCACGGAUUUGGGCCAUUGAAUAGCUUAUUUUUUUUAAAGAACAGGAGGGUAAACCCCUACUGAUUAUAUAUUAAAUUGAAAGGAUACAAAGAAAAUGGCACAAAUCUAAAGAGAGAAAAUAAAAAAAAAGGAAGAGGAAGAGAAAAAGAAAAAAGGGAAAAAGACAAGCCUAGGAGUACAAGCUAAGAGAUUACAGAGUAUGUAACCAGACAUUCAUAGCAAGCACUAAAGCAGGGUGCGCUCUAUGGGGUAACAAGGAAAAUUCAGACAUGAAUUUCCUUUUGCACAAUUCCACUGAUGGAUUGAACAUCCAGUCAUUCCUAGUCAUCCAGAUGCUCCAUGACAUAAGAAUUAUGAUUUCCAUGAAGAAAGGAACAUGCUCCAUGACAUAAGAAUUAUGAUUUCCAUAAAGAAAGGAACAGCAAGCUUGUCCUUGAUUUGUUUGAAAAUCCGAAGGAUUGGUUUGGUGGUGAUAACUGAUACUCCAAUUGAAUUCCAGCAUGCUUUGGCAAAGUUACAUUGGAGGAAUAGGUGUGCCACAUAUUCCAUCUUUUGUAAUAUACAUAGUUCGCAAGUGUAGGAGUCAAGAUCCAUUUGUUUCCUUCUCAAUAUAUCUCUUGUACUCAGACGAUCUUUGAGCAAUAACUAGAAGAAGACCUUGUGUUUGAUCUGACAUUUAGAUUUCCAAAGUCAGAAAUAUGCUGGAUGGGUAUUCCUCUACCCAAUGAUAGCCUUAUAUGCUUUGGAUGUUGAAAACAUUGAAUUGCCCCAAAUGUAUGUACACCUAUCAGGUUCUUGUACGGUAUUCAUGCCAUCAAUGAGUUGUUGCAGGAUAUGGUAUUCAUGCCACCAAUGAGUUGCUGCAGGAUAAUAAAUUGUGAAUGUGCCUGGGUUGUUAGGGGUAAGUUGAAAUUCUGGAUGAAACUUGGUUAGUUGACAGCCGCUUUGAAGGUGAUGUUGUAGUCUUUGGCAAAUGAGAUAAGCUCCGGAUGAACCUGUGAUUGCACUGCUCCAUUCCAAAAGUCUUUUCAAAAGAGUACUGUGGAGCCUUCUGCCACUAGAACUGAAGCAAUUCCUUUGUAUGUAUCCAAUAAUUUGACUACAUCCCUCCAUCAAAAGGAGCCUUUUCUUUGCUAACCCAGUAGUCGACCAUUAGCAUAGUAAUUUUCCCAUACAAUGUUGACCCAAGGAGUGUCAACCUUGGAGAAGAACUUGUGCAGGAACUUUAGCAACAUAGCAUCAUUAUGUGUAGCAAGAUUGAAAACUCCCAAUCCACCUUGUUUCUUAGGCAAACAUACCAAAGGCCAAGCAGCUGUGGAAGGCUUCUUGGAGUUCAUGUCUGAUCCCCUCCAUAAGCAGUAUUUCCUAUAUUUGUGCAAUUUUAGCGUUGAUGUAUAGAAAACUACUGAUGAAGAGAAGACCGAGUUAACCAUCUCCAACUUGCCAACUUGACUCAAAAAAAGGGACAUGUUGCUUAACCUCUUUUCUAUCUUUUGUAUGAGGGGCAGAAAAUUUUCCAUGUUAGGCUUGGUGGUUCCUAGGGGCAGUCCCAGAUAUGUGAAGGGGAGAGAACCUUUUUGACAGUUAAAAGUUGUGGCAAGAUUCUCAAGAUUUGCUUCAGAAAUGUUUAGGGGUACUAUAGCCGAUUUACUAUAAUUGACCUUCAGUCCAGUGGAGGCAGCAAAGGUGCUAGGAAGGUCUUUGAGGAAUAAGUGCUGGUUUGGGCAGGCCUCCAUAACAAGUAGGGUGUCAUCUGCAUAUUGGAUAAUUGGAAAAUUUGUCCCUGCUCUUUCUGGAAUUGGUAGUUUAAGAAAUCCUUGGUCUUUGGCUCUAUUGAUGACUGAUUGAAGUAGGUCUGGUGCCAGGACAAAAAGAAGAGGUGAGAGGAGAUCACCUUCCCUUACUCCUCUUCUGAAGUGAAAGACUUUCCCUAGAACUCCAUUCAGAAGAAUUGAAGAUGUGUCUGAUCCUAGUAUGUCUUUGAUCCAAUUAAUCCAUCUAUCCCCGAAGCCUUGUGUUUUAGAAUUUGUAGAAUGUUCUGAUGUUCCAUCUUAUCAAAGGCUUUUCCAAAGUCUAGUUUCAGAAUCACUAAUUCUCUUUUAGAGGCCUUGCAGAUAUGUAGAUAUUCAAUGACCCAAGCCAGAUAGUCGUGUAUAGAUCUUGAUCUAAUAAAACCAUAUUGAUUUUUGUGGAUGAAUCUUAGGAUGACCUGCUGUAGCCUGUCUACAAGUAGCUUGGUGAGUAGCUUAAUUGUGGAGUUCAGGAGGGAAAUUGGUCCAAAGUCUCCAACUAAGGAUGGACAGUUCUUCUUGGGGAUCAGGAUGAUGUAUGAAGCAUUGAUGCUUCUUAGACAUAUAUUUCCUUCAAAAAAAAUCCUCACGGAGUUUGUAGAAGUCUUGAGAAAUUAGGUUCCAGCACUUCUUUAGGAACUCUACAUUAAAGCCAUUAGGUCUUGGGGACUUGUUGUUAGGGAGCUCUGUAAUUAUCUUAUUAAUUUCUUCUUAGGUAAAUGGACUUUCUAACCAGUCCAUAUUGUUGUCAACCCGAAGUAGAGAGUCAAGGUCAAAGUACAUGUGUGUAAACUUUGAGGUUCCUAUUCUUCCUUUAUAAGCGUUCCAGAGCAUUGCUGCCUUGGCUUCAUGGUCAAACACCUCACUUCUAGAAUCAUCUGUCAGAGAGGUAAUAGUGUUCUUCCUGUGUCUGAUCGACGCAUUGGCAUGGAAAAACUGAGUACACUUGAUGGGUCCAUAGACCCGGGGUUCCCAAUGGGCCUGCUUUUGCACAACACCUGGCCCAACGAGAGGUGCAGUGAUAAUGCACGCCUGGGCCGGCCCAAAUACGUGACGCCAGGCCGAGACCAUGAUCCAGCCACCGACCUGCAAUUCCGACUAGGAGGCCUGGUCGACGCCCCGACCAGAAGGCCUGGUCGGGGGCGGGACCACAGUCCGACUCCGACCAAGUUCCCCCAACUAGGGACACGCCAGACCUACGCAUACCACUCCUUCCCGACUGGCACGGUCGGGACUAUGGCGGAACUACCCAAAUUAACCUGACUAAAAUGCACUUAAGUCAUCUGACACGCGAUCAUGCACUUUAACCAAGUCAACUUGGUCAUCCGUUGGAUUUCAUCCGAUAAACCACUUACUCAGGAUCGAGAAGCAUUGCUCACAUGAAGGUGAGUGGCACAAAGAUUACAACAUUCCUAUCACAUUAACAUAGUUUGGAAGGUUGUAAACAACGAAGAAGUAAAACAAGCGGAAGCUACCCGACGAUACAUAAUACCAUGGAGAAGCCGACCAUGAUAUCAAUGACCCCUGUCCUCGCCAUCCGAGGAGGGAUCCCACUCGACUAUCCAACCCGGAGGGAGCUGGGUAGGCCAAGUGGUGCCAGCAGCCAAACUAUCGACAUUACCUGAAAAGUUAUGCCACAAGCAAGGCUGAGCAACUAAUACUCAGCAAGACUAACCUAAUAGGUGAUAACUAUUCACCGACUCCUAGACAUGCAAAACUUUUUGGUUGUGGGUUUGUUUUUGCCAAAACACCUAAAGUUGUCCUUACUUUCAACAUUUUAGCUCAAGUUCUAUGUUCAUUAACCAGACUAGAUUAGCAACUUAUACUAAACAAGCAUAGUUUCCAAACAAUUAAAGAACAAGCAUCAAGAUUAAAGUCAUCAUCAUAUUCCUUCUUUACUCAGUGCAGAAUAACGAUCAAGCAGUCCCAAACUAUGAGAGGCAGAUGAAUUAAUUUGAAUUUAUUAACCAUGCAUGGAGAACCUAAUCUCACGACAUCCGCGCACCACGAAGGGUCGCUUCACUUGUCAGCCGUCCCCAUCGAUCCCUAUGCACGUGUCAGGGCCAAACUUCCCUGGCAUGCAAUGCUGCACAGUCCCGGUCUCUUGUCGUACUGUGACGGCACUUGCACCCACAUGAUGCACCAUGGGAACCUCGUUCCAGGGACAGCAGGAGUAUAAGACACGCCCCAGUUCAAUCAGGUACUAGGCUUCCCUAUCCCAUACUAGGUAUGAGAUUAGUACUUUCAAACACUUGAUCAUGAACGCUGACAUGUUUUGACCUUAGCAAGUUCAUUACUAGACAGACAGGGCAAACCACCACAUUGGAACCAUUCCCGGUCCCGUCCGUCAUCCUUAUAGUUGUAGUAUGAGAAAACAAACAACUCCUAUAACUCGCGAGUGACAGGCAAUCACUCGACUUUUGCCAAGUCCUAUUUAGCACAACAACUACUCGACCUUAGCAACUAGUGUUCAGAUCAAAGGUACUAAAUUCAUGCAUCUACAGUUUCAAUCAACUCCUACAAACGUAAAUGCACAAUCAUAAUCAUCAAUAUAUUGCAUAAAUUUAAAACAGGGAAGCAUGCACCGGGGCUUGCCUUCAGGUUUAGAAAAAUUUAGCGGGUCUUCGGGGUCUUGAUCUAGCUCGGGCUCAACUUCCGUGUGAUGUAGCUCUGCGGCGUGUUCCUCUUCCAGUGUAGGGUGGAGCUCGUAGGUUCCGUCAGCGAUAUUAGCUUCUACACGACAUGCACAUGCAGAGAGUUCAAUUUUUCAUGCUUUCAUACGAAUGAUGUAAGACAUGACUUAUUGCUGAAAUGAAAGUUGCAUUUCGACCACAUUCACCUAAACAAGGUUUCAAAUUUCGUUACCUUCAUGAAGUAAGGUGUGUUGUGGUUUAAAACUAAGGGUUGACUUUGAUGGUGAUUGUGUACAUAUAUAAGAUUUCAUAACUUAGACUUCACAAGGAAAGUGAGGGUCGCUUUUAGGAUUGUUCGGGUUUCAUUUGGAAAGUCAUUUAUUUCUGAAUGUUUUUAUUGUACCUCUUCCAAAAAUCACCAAUUAAGUUUACUAGGACUUAACAUUUCCUUACUCAUUUAAACCGAUUCCUCAUCCAAAAUUUGUUUCCACAAACCAACACUAGCAUAUGACAUUGAGAAAUGAGCAGUACCUCACUCAUGUCAUCAAUGAGUUACUGUAAAAAUUUGGGAUCCAUUGAAUUAGCACAAAAAGAAUUAAAAUUACUUUAUUACCCAAGGGUAGCAUGCACUUAACCAUUUUUAUCUCAAAACCUACAGUGAUUCCGAGGGUGAAACUUUAACAGUGGGUUGAAGGUGUGUUAUAGAGACUUUGGUGAAUUUUUCAUGAUUUGUGGUGAAGGACAACUAUUUCCCAUAUUUUACUCCUAUUAUCUUGAUCUAAAAAGGAAAGUGGGUUUCAUCAAGCUUUAGUCAAGGUUUCAUAUUUUCCAUGUGAACUAAGCUUCAAAACUAAGCUACUCCAAGUGAUUUCAUAUUUUUCUCAGCUCUAGAUUAAAACUUAUGCAAAAAGAAAGAUUUAACCCUAGAUUUCAAAUAUAAAGCUAAAACAGUGAGUUAAAGUUCUACUCCAGGGUCUUCACUAUUUUUCCAAGCUUCCAUACUUAGAAACAUACACCAUAGAGUUGGAUUUAUCUUUUUAGUAUUUUUCUUUGAUUUACUAUGAUUUAAAAGGCCUAAGCAAGAAAUGAAACUAUAGGGUCUUAUUUCCAACAGUAACAUGGGCAAGAUUAUUUUUGUAUGAAACUGGAUAGUUCACUAAGUCCAACAAAAUUUAUUUGGCAUUUUCUAAUUUUUCUACGAUUUAUGGUGCAUUUACAAAGUUUAUUCUAUUUUCUAUCAAUUUAAAACAAUUAACCGAAAGAACUUACAAUCUAACCCUCGCGUCUAAGGUUUAAUCGUGCAGUGUUCUCUAGUUCUUGUGCUAAGGCCCCUAGAAAAAGAUAAAAGACACAGGGAGGCCCCUAGCGGCGGCCGUCGCCGAUCUUCGCCCGAUUUCGGCGAUGCAAGGCUUGGGCCUGGGCAAGAAGCUAUUGGGGAGAAGCGCGUUCUCACCUAGGGUCAAUUGGCGGCGGUUAGGACGUCGGAGAGGGCUCGGUGAAGGCGGAACGCCGUGGGGACGAGGAGCGGGUCGUGGCGAUGGUCCUCAAGGUGUUCCGGUGCCGGUAGUGCUCCGGGAGGGCAAUGGGCAGCUCGGGGACGUGCGUGGUGGAGCGGCGGAGCGAGCGGCGGUCUCGAUGGGGCGCGGGGCGGCACGGAGGUGGGGCUCCACGGGAGACCCGAGCGGCAGCCCAAGGAAAAUAGGGGAGCGGUGGUGCUAGAGCUAGCGGAGGGCGGUGUAGGCGGCACCAUAAGUCCUUUUAUAGGGCCAGGGGGAGCGGCGGGUCGAGGCGGGGCUCCGGACGUGGGAAGAUAAGAUCGGAGGGGCGCUGUGGGCUGCGGGUCGAAGCUCCAUUGGCGGCGGCGCCAUUGGUCGGGGUGCGGAGGCCGUGGGAUAGGAUCCCUCGGUCAUUGGCCUUGAGGGAUUCGAAGCGUGCAUGUAACAACCCUAGGUUAGCUAAACCCUGUUUAAACUUAAAUGAAGCAAUUAACAGCUGAUUAAACAAGUCAAGGGUCAACUUUGGCCCCUAAGAGCUUAAAUAUGUGAUUAAGUCAUAAGUUAAAUUUUUAUAUAACAGCCUGAAAUUUUAUCCAACUAAGAGUUGUUAAACUCAUCAUUUCUAACAACUUUUAUUAUAAGCAUUUUGUUUGAAAUUGAGUAGAAGAGAUCCAAAAACUCAGUUUAAAAUCAGAGGCUUUUCAAAUCACUCAAAAUCCUAAGUGCUGAAAGGCAUGAAAAAGUCCCAACUUUGGGGCUCUUUAUUUCAAAAUUUCUAAUAUAAAAUCAAGCUGAGCUCUAUACACAAGUUUUAGAACUUCAAGUGCUUAAUAACUUUGAUUUUUGGAGCUAGGCCAAAAUCUGCACAAAAGUUUUCAAACUUUAGGUCAAACACAGCCAGUUUGGUCAACACCGUCACACUCUGAAAAUCGUUCCAAGUCUGAAGUUUUCAGUUUUUGCCAAACAUUGAUGCAUUUUAUCUCCAAAACCGUUUGGAUUUUGAACAAAAACUUUAUGAAUAAAGUAAACUAGGGUGCUAGGCCUACAAGUUUUGUAAAGGAGGGUAGGGGCGAGCAGUUCAAAAAUUGGUAGUAAAUCAAGCCCCAAGACCGGUCCUCCGGCAUUUUUCGCGUUCCCGCCUAGCGUCAGAGAACGCACGCGCCAGAGCCCGCACCUCGCCCGCCGUGUGGCUCCACCUCACCGGCGAGCCCCGUCACCCAACCUGCGGCCGUGAGCUGACCCGACAAGCGCCGCCUCGCCUAAUAGCCUCGCUUGCCGCGACAGCCUCGACGCGCGCCUACAGUCGGUCGCACGCCCAGUCACCCGGCCCUCUGCUACGGGUGCAUGUCCCCGCACGCGCCGCAGACCGUCGCCGCCACUUCGCCCAACGCCCUCCCGCGACAAGAUGCCACAAGAGCCGAGCCUUGCCAAUGCGCCUCCCUAACAGCCCCGCUCAUUCGCGCACGCGAGCUCUUGCCCUAUCCUGCCGCACCGCCCGUCGGCGGCAAUGGCCACUGCCGAGCCUCGCCAAUGCGCCUCCCUAACAGCCCCGCUCGUCCUCGCACGCGAGCUCCUGCCCUAUGCUGCCGCACCGCCCGUCGGCGCCAAUGGCCGCCGCCAUGGCCGGUCCACCCGGCAGCACGCGCCUUGCCCCACUCUUCGGCUCCAGCUACAGACGCGUGCCUCGCCGCGGCUAUAAUACGCCCACCAGCCUGCCCGCACUCCCUUUCACAGCUCCGCGCACCCGCACCGCCGGAACGCCCACCUGAGCACGCCGCCGCCUAAGCUCCUCCAUGGAGAGCUAGCCUCCGCCGUGCGCCACCCCUCACCGGUGCCCCUAGCCACUUCGCCGCCACCUCGCGAAGCUGCUGCGCUUGCCCAUCUCCGCCGCCCAGACCCAGCCCCGCCGGAACACCAACGCCACCGCCCGCCGCCGCAGCCGAGCAAGCCGUCUCCGCGUGCUGCCACCGUCGGACCGCCCCGCCGCCCGCAACCGCCUCAAAUCAGUCGCAGGUGAGCCCCUGCGCCUCCCCGACCUCUUGUCACCCCAAUCCCGCUGGCUAAUCGCCGGAAUUCCGACCGGCCACCGCCGCCGGCCCGCCGAGGACUCGAUUGCAUUUGAAAAAUGCGAAUUAGGGGUCUCUGUGAAGUUUUGUUACAACCUAUGGGUGAUUAGUUGAAAACCCGAGGGCCCAACCGUAAGUCUACCUGAGAAAACCCGCGCGAGGACCUGUUUGUGUAUAGCGAGGGCAUGGUUGUGAAAUCCGAAAGUUUCUGAGGGCCUAGUUGCAAAUACGUUUCGGUUUAUAUUUUUAUAUCGGCAGAAUAUAUGUUUAACUUUGAAAAUUCACCAAAAUUCGUAGAAAAUUCAGCAAAAAGUCAAACCAAUUUUGCUAGACUCAGUAUAAGAGUAGUUUUUAAUAAAAAUACUUUUGGCACAUGUCUUUGUUAGAAUUAAAUUUAUAUGAUUUAAUCCUUGUUUAAGCUAUUUAAAUCAUAACAAAUCACAGAAAAAUGCUAAAAAGGGUAAAUCCAUUUCCCAAGUGGUUGUUUCAGAUAGUAGAAGCUUGGAAAAAUAAUUUUGGAGCCCAUCUCAGAUGUUUAAAUCUCUAUUUUAGUUUUAUCAUGUGUAUCUAAGGUUGUUUUCGUCUUUUGCAUUAUAAUUAAACCAGAGAUGAUAAAAAUAUGAAACAAAGCGUAAUAGGUCAGUAGUGUAGUAUAGUUUGUAGGAAAAACAUAGAACCUGAUUAGAAGCAUCAGAAAAACCACCUUCCUUUUUAGGGAGGAAUAAAUAGGGUAAAUGUAUAGAAAAAGAUGCCCUUCAUUAAAAAUUGUGAGAAAUUCACUAGAGGCUCUAUUUCACCCCUGGAACCUACUGUUAAAAUUUCGUGAUCAGUUUCAUCUUGGUUUCUGUUUUAAUAAUGUUUAAGUAUAUGCUACCUUAGGGUAAUUGAGUAAUGCUAAUUCUUUUCAUGCACCUCCAAUGGAUCUCAAACUUAUGCAGUAUCUUAUCCUUGCCAAAGUUAAGUUACUGGUAUAUUUUCAGCUUCAUAGCUUGCUGUUAAAGAUGGAAAUAAAAUUGCAAGAUGAGCCUAGCUAAAUGAAAGAAAGAAACCUUAAUUAAUGAUAAAGGUAUUUUUUUAGGAGAGGUACAAAAGAACAUUCAGAAACAGGAUAACUUUCCGAUCUAAAGUUUAACAAGAUAGUGCAUAUAUGUACACAAUCACCAUCAAAUCAACCCCAGGCUUGUACCACACCCCACCUUCCGCGUGUAGAUAAAGAAGGUGUAAAACCUUGUUCAAGUGAAUGUGGCCCUAAUAUAACUACUUCUUCAGUACUAACUCGUGUUUUACAUCCUAUGAAAAAGUUUGGGAAUUUUUAACUUGAUGCAUUGCAUUUCGUGUAGACCUGAACCUCGCUGACGGGACUUACGAGCUUCACCCGGCGCCAGAAGGAGCCAUAGCGGAUCUGCAGCAAGUCAGAGCCGAGCCCGUACCAAAACAAGCCGAGGACCAGUUCGCUAACUCCCCGUGUGAAGGCAAGCCCCAGAGCAUGAAUUCCUAUCUUUAAAUACCUGCAAUACAAUUGAUUGCUUUGAUUGCGCAUUUACGUUCUAGGAGUUGAUUAACACCGUAGAUGCAUGAAUUUAGUACCAUUGAUAUGAACACUAGUAUAUUAAGUCGAGUAGUUGCAAUACUUAAUAGGACUCGAUAAAAGUCGAGUAAUUUCCUGUCACUCGCGAGUUAUAUAAGUUGAUUGCUUUACUUAUGUUGCAACUAUAAGGACGAUGGACGGGGAUGGGCUUAUGUUUGGUACUCGGUGGUUUGCCCCGUCUGUCUACAUGAAAUUGGACUAAGGUCGAGAUUUGAUAGUGUUCGUGAUCAAGUAUUUGAAAGUACUAAUCUCAUACCUAGUAUGGGAUGGGGAAGCCUAGUACCUGAUUGAACCAGGACGUGAGCGGAUCGUUCCACUGUCUCUGGAAACUGAGUUCUCCCCUGAUGCAUCAUGUGGUGACAAGUGCGGUCAUAGAACGGCGGAGGCCUGGUCUAUAGAGCCUUGUACCAAGGGAAGUGGGCCCGACACAGGUUUGGGAAUUGAUGGGGGUGGCUGACAAAUGAAGUGACCCUUCGCGGUGCACGGAUGUCAUGGGAUUAGGUUCACCAUACAUGGUUAAGAAAUUCGAAUCGAUUCAUCAGCCUCUCACAGUUUGGGAGUACUUGAUCGCUAUGCUACACUGAGUAAGAAUGAAAGAUAGUGAUGACCUAAUAUGGUUACUUGCUAUUAAUUAUUUGGAAACUAUGCUUGUUUAGUAUAGUUGCUAACUUAGAUUGGUAAAUGAACAUAGAACUUGUGGCUAAAAUAUUGAAAGUAAGCACCUACAUUAGUCGCUUUUGGCAAAAACAAACCCUAGAGCCAAAAAGCUUGCAUGUCUAGGUGUUGGUGGAGUAGUACCACCGGUCGGUUAAGUCUUGUUGAGCGUAGUCGCUCAGCCUUGUUGUGGCAUAUCUCUUUUCAAGUGAUGUUGAUACCUCUGAGUUCGAUGCAAGUGGCACUUGGCCUGCCCAACUUGCUCCGGGUUGGACGGUCGAGUGGGAUCCCUCCUCGGACAGCAAGGAUAAGGAUCAUUGAUGUCAUGACCGGCUUCUUCAUGAAGAUCAUGCAACAAUGUCUAGCUUUCGCUUAUUUAUUUCCGCUGCUUGAAAACUCUGCAAACUUGUUGAAUUUCGGAACUCAUGUUAUAAUAAUUCAAUGCACUUUGUUAAAUCUGGAUGGACUGUUGUAAUCUCUGUAACCACUCACCAUCGUGUGAGUCUUGCUUUAUCGAUCCUGAGUUAAGUGGUUUAUCGGAUGAAAUCCGACGGACGACCAAGUUGACUUGUUUAAAGUACAUGAUCGCGUGUUAGGUGACUUAAGUGUGCUUUAGCCAUGUUAAUUUGGGCGGUUCCGCCACAGCGCAAGCGUGGCUUUGCCGCGGUCGUGGGUUGUGGAGCGAGGCACUCGUGCGGUCACUGUCCGGGCAUCGAUAGGCGAACGGAGCUUGGCCGGUCCGAGGCGGUGGCGUGGCAUCCUCUGGCGGGCGGAGCUAGCUCAAGACGGGGCGAAGGGCAUGCGUGGCAUCAGGGAGCGGGAUAAGCGCGCUCGCCUACUAGGCAGCCGAGCGCGCGAGUUGUUGUGUCGCGGCCGUCGGUUGGGCGACGGUGAGCUCGCCAGUUGAUGGCGGCCACGCGGCGGGUAGCGUGCGGGAACGCGCGUCGCGGCGCACUCUGGCCGAGGGCGUCGCAAGGUAGGGGGAAAAGGCUAGGUUUGGGGGAUUUUUGUUAAAACUUUUUCAAAAGAACCCGUGAAACUCCAAAAGUAAAACAUGUAGUCCUAACGUCCAGCUCCAAACUUUACAAAAAGAGUUUGCUUAAAUUCGAUAUGGAUUUGAACCUAUGGAUUUGCAAAGUUCGGCAGAACGUCAGCCUCCUAGGACUUAGACAGAUUUUGGUUUUGCUGUUUUUAAGCAUUUUGGCCAACUUUGGCUCAGAUUUUGAGUAGCUUCCCAUUUGAAUCAUGCCAAGCUAUAAUUGAAGGAAUUGUUCUUCGAUCUUAGGACUCCAACUCCUAGUAAGGACUUUUCUCAGGUUCAGUUCAAUUUUUAGGAGAAACAGGCUUGCCAACAUGCGUGCUCUGGGUGUCCUUCCAGACUUAGCGCAGAAAAGCAUUUGUGCUAGCUUGACUAUUUUGAGCGACAUUGACCAAGAUUUUGAAUAGGUUUGGUUGUGAAUUAGACUUGGGUCAGUAUAACAAAGUUGUAACACACUCGCGGAACUACAACUUCUAUUAGGGGUUUGACUCGAGGUUAGAUAUAGAAUUGUGAGAUAAUAGGUUGCAAAGUAGAGGAAAAACAUGAGUUCCAGGACUUACGUUAUUUGCAGGAUUUUGAUGUACUCCUGAUUUGACUCUUAUUUUUGACCUUCUUCCACUCCAAAUUAGCCGAUGUGUUAUUAAUAAAAUUUGUUUGAAAUUAAAAGUUUUACAACUCCUAUUUGGGCAAAAAUUCAAGUUUGUAUACAAAAACUCAAGUUUCCUAUUUAACCCCAAAAGGAGAUUUUUAGGGGCAAAUUGGACAUUUCACUUCUUCUACUUAGUGACUAAUGACUUUAUUAAGUAUAACUACACCUAAUUAAGGUAGAAUUGUUACAGGGAUCGACCAGGACAACUGACAGGGGAUGCCCACUUGGUGUGGACCCAGGGAGUAGGUUAAGCAGAUAAAGGAAAACACAAAGGUCAACCACUGUACAGAGGACCAUACCUAGCCAUGCCCUGCGCAAACGCCGCACAGUGCCACCGUGCAAUGUCAGGCGAACACUGUGCUACCUGACCGUCACAACGGAGCAUGAACAAGGAUGGAGUGCGAUGGUCAUACUGUACCCGGCGACGUGGGCAACGACAAGACUAGGCAGCGCUCGUACUCUCUCUCUCUCUAACUUGUAAGGCUGUCCCCUUGGACUAUAAAAGGGGAUGGGCCCUCUCUCUCCCAAAUAGGUGAAGCGUCCCCACAUCAGCGGAGACUAAAUGUGAUAGAAAUAUCAGUCCCAGGAGGCUGAUAACACAUUUAUUCGACAGAUGGUUCAAAAACCGUACAACUCCCGAAGGAGCGGGCGGGCAAGCCACACCCAAAGAAGAACUAAACCAAUAACGAUACAAAUCCAAGUUGCAGUCCAGUCGGACUCCGGGCUGCAAUCGGAACUAAGCGUCAGCGGAAGCAUUCUGCAAAAGCCAACACCACAGGCAGCGUUGGGUGCGGACACGACCUCCUACUCGAGAUCCUUGGCGAUGUAGUCUGGGUCUUCCUCUGAAGCAACAAAACAAGGGUGAGUACGAAGGUACUCAACAAGUCCAACCCCAUCCACGGAGGGGGAUACAAACAAGAGUAUGCACAGGAUAUAACAAGGAUAAGGUUAAGGUUCAUUUGCAACAAAGCUAGAUUUUCAACACAUGCAGAGGUUCAUUUCCAAAAGAGUUUUUGCAAAGCAUUUCCUUUAUUAACCGAAACAUUAAGUGGGGUUGAUCCUACACAAAGGAUCCAAAUUUUAUUGCUAUCGGACUCCCCGUCCGCCAUAGCUCAUGACACAACUGCCGGACACUUCCAAAGUCCAACACACGCCAUAAAAACCAUCCAUCUCCAAGUGCUAGUUAUGUGACCAAGCCGUAACUCGUCCAAUCCCAUGGACACAGCUACCCGGAUAGGUUUUAACUCUGCAGAGGUUGUACACUUUUCCCUCAAGUAGGGUACCGCAGUACGAUCACCUUAGUGCCAGUGCGAAUCCUAACAAAGCCAUUACCCACCUUAGCUAAGAAUGACUAGUCCACACGGAAGCAACCAAGGGGUUAAUGACAUACCAACGAGGUUGUAACCGGGACCUAAGUCACAAAGAUCUUACUCCUUUUUCAUGGGCUGCCGUUGCUCACUAGCUCACCCGAAGACUAACAGUUUAGCUAGUGGGAUUUAUGCUAAGCCGUUGCCGCAUACAAUGGAGUGGUUGCACGAAGGUUGGGUUAGGCAAGAUGACACAUUAACUUGGUCCUUAACCAUGACAAGAUGGAUAUCUCCCAACCUUGCUCAAGCACCAAGGUACGAGCCCAACAUAUUGGCAUUUCACACCUGAAACACCCAUCCAUCUCAUCUAAGCAUUUCUUUCCUUUACUUCCAAAAAACCCAAUUUCCCUUUUUAAAAUACUCACACAUUUAUUUUUUAACAAAACACAUUAUGGUCAUGACUGAAUUGAGUAACAAGGUCCUAAGCAUUCUAGCAGUAAUUAUCAUCCAAACAGAGCAAGUCAUAUUUAGAGAUAGUUAUAGGACAAGCAAGGAAUAAUCAUAACAAUCAAGGGGUGGCUAUCCAACCAUGUUUCGGCGGUAAAAUAAUAUGCAAUUUAUAAAAUAGGCCAAUAUGUUGUGUUUGAAAAACUAGGAUAAAUAUGCAUCAAAGGGUGAGAUUGGACUUGCCGUUCUCAAAGCCUUCCGGGAGUUCCUGCUCGCGGUACUGGUCCUCGGGCUCGGGCUCAUGGUCAAACUCCUCCUCAUGCUCCUCCUUGGGUACUCCACGAUCUAAGCACACACAAUCGAGCACACAAUAAAUAAAAGAGAAUUAAAAAUUUUCCCAUUGAGCUACGAACAGAGAAUGCGAACGGAAAAUUGAAGGAGUGAGCAUUUUCAUGAAAUUUGGAUAUGCCUCAGUGGAAGUAUAUGGGAGGAGGCCGUGAUCGAAUUUGGGAUCAAUUGGAGGAAGUUUGGCGCAUGAAAUGAUGAGUUAAAGGAGUGUUAGGGGCUUAAAUCAAGGUUUAGGACUAAACUGCGAGAACUAGGGACCUAUUUGUAAUAAUUUCCGAAAGGUGGAAGGGCGUAUCCGUGAGAUUUCUUUGAGAGAGGUGGGAGGGCUGGUUUGCAAAUAGGGGAAACUAGGAGGUUAGAUCGAAAUGGAGGCCUUCUUCUUCCUUGGGCCGAGACAGAGAGAUUGGAGGGGAGGGAAACCGGUGGGGGGGCCGGCCGGCCGGGCCUCACCGGCGGCAAGCUGAGUGGUGGGGGAGGUAGAGGGGGACGAGGGCGUCCCGUUUGAGGUUUCACCUCGGGCGGAUGGUGGCCGGAGAUGGGGCGUCGGCGGCGGGCAAAGGAGGCGGCGGCGGAGCUCCUGACAGCGGCGCACAGGGCGGUGGGGAAGGGGGUGACGAGCUAGGGGGGAGAUGCUGGUGGUGUGGGGAGGCGGCAGGGGCUCGGCCCCCUUUUUAUAGGCGGCGAGGAGGAGCUCGAUGGCCAGCGGCCUUCAAUGGUGGCCGAGAAUCCCGGUCGGUGGCGUGCCGGAGCGGAGCUCCACGUGGACGGCGUGGUGGGGCUGGCUCGGUCGACGAGGAGCACAGGAGGCACACAGGGGUGGUGGCCGGCGUGGCGUGCGGCCGGUGCUCAUCGGGCGGGGCCGGCCAGGCGCAGGCGGUGGCGUGCGGCUCGACGCGCGAGGCCGGGCGCGGGCGCGGAGCCGGACUAGGCGCAGGCGCGGGGCCGGCACGGGCCAGGCGCAGGAGCCGGGGCCGGGUGAGCGGUGCCAGGCGCCAGACGCCAGGGAGGCGGCGCUAGGGAGAGGAGAGGAAAGAGAGGAGGAGGGAGGAGGAAGAAGGAAGAAAGAGAAGGAAGGAAGGGAAAAAAGAAAAGGGGGAAAAGGAAAAGGAAAAAGGGAAAUCGGCGAUAGUUGCGGAAUUGGUCGGGCACGCGUGACGGAUUUGACGAGCACGCGGCUAAAUUUGCGGGGAACGGAAAAAGAUGAUUGUCGAUGUUGGGUGCCGGGAUGGCGGGUCGCCGAGAAGGAAAAGAUUUUUCGGGAGCUCAAUGGUCGAAAGAUUUUGAAAUAAAUUUUUUAGCGGGUGAUUUGAGUUAGUAAAUUUUACGGACAUUACAAUAGGCCAUACACAUGAGGCACAUCAAAAACCCUCUGAUUCUCUCCAGCACAUAGCACACGCUUUAAGCCCCCCGUCACUCUCUUCCACUUGGACCAGAGCACGACCGGGUCUCGGACACCCCCUUCUCACCCCCAACUCGUUUGUACCCCAACUACAAACUUGGAGCACCUGGGCUUAGGAAUACAGUCAACCAACUGACCUCGAACUGAACGUAGGUCACGUAGCCCGAACCAGUAUAAAACCUGUGUCAUUGUGUGCUAGGCCAUUCCGAUCUAACGCACGGCAAAACUACUAACAUUUACUUGUCGGCCAGAUUCCGCCCCGACAGCACUCAUCUCCAAACUUAACCCAUUUGAUUGUUCCUCUUUGCUUCCAUUAGAUCUUUUGUUGGUGAAGAAGGUUCUGUAAGUGAUUCCUAAUUAUGUGCCUAAAGAUCCAUUUUUCUAAGGUUAAAUCUCAUUGUUCUUCCAUAAUGUUCAGGAGCUGGAUCAAGUCUUUGCAGUUCCUGAUGGUAGCUGGUAAAUUUGGUAGUUGUGCUUUUCAAGCAUUUAACACUCUCCCCUUAGGUUCUUAAAUUUUGCACUUAUCGUCUUGGUACUAUCAAUUUGAGGGUUGGGCAAAUUCCAUCCAUGUUAUAGAACUAGCACAAAAUUCUCAUGUUCCAACCAAUAGCUUUCAAAUCUGAAUAUCCUAGGCUUAGGAACAUUUGUGCUUGCCGUGAUGGUACAUGGAGUGUGAUAUGAGAUGUCUCUGGACAACCCUGAGGCAAAGGAGUUUCAAAAAAUAGUUGUCCAAGCAUUAGAUGUGAAGAACCAGUCUAAUCUUUCCAGUAAAGGAUUCUGUUGCUUGUUUGUCCAGGUAAAUUUGCAUCCUCUAAAGGGCAAUUCCACUAAACUAAGGUUGCUAAUGGUUUCAUUAAAAGCCAGCAUUUCCUGAAGAUUACCCCUAGCUUAUUCCUAUCUUCUCCUAUCUUCAAGCUUCCUGAUGAGGUUGAAGUCUCAGCCAUUUUUCGUCAUCAGGCAUAUUAAUCCUUUUGAACCAGUUCAAAAAUGCGGUUUUGCCUUCUCUAGUACAGGGUGCAUAGAUAUUGGUUAGGAUCCAGUUUUCUCCAAUCUACCUACAUGAGAAUUAUACUGAUUGGGCAUAAUCAUUUUGAAAGUCCAAGUGACCACUGAACUUGGAACUGUUCCAGAUAAUGUUAGUCCCUCCUGAGUUACCCACUAAUAGUAAGAACACAUAAUCAUCCAUAUAUGCUGGAUAGAAAUUUUAACAUAUGUAAUAUCGAAGAAUUCUUUCUAAGUUUCUUGUAGACAUAGAAUAUCACAUUUGGAUUUACAAAUCUUGCUUUUGACCGCAUCCCAUUUCCCAUCAGAGUUAAUACCUCUAAUAUUCCACGAUAGAAUGACCCAAUUCCUUUUAUGUUGUCCCUGAUUAUAGAUGCUCAUUGAUGAGAAGCCCAACAAAUCGCAUGUGUAAGAUACAAUUAUCCACAGGAUGUCCAAACCGAAAUAAAUAAACAUUCUAAUUAAGAUAAAGAUCACCAGGAUCAACCACAUGUUCAUAAGGGAUAAUAAAGAAGUCCACAUCCCCAAGACAUUACAGUUUAACAAAAUCUCAACCAUUCCCAUCAUGAUACAGGAUAAACUAAUAAUGAAGAUAGCAAAUAAGAUCUUGCUACUUCUUGAUCUUCUUGCGUGAUUCCUCGGAUUCAAUCUCAUCGAUCUUCUCUUUGCUUUUCUCUCUCUUGGAGUUGAUUACCUUCCUGGAGGUCUUGUGGCUUCCAAUGACUUGCUUGUUCUUGCCUUUGUUGCAUAAUGCAUCCUCAGACAGAGCUUGUUGAAUAGCUUGUUCAGGUCCACUCUGCGGGAAGCCAUCUCCGGUGAGAUGUUCGGCGUCUCCGAACUUCUCCAGGAUCCAGCGGCUAUCGGAACCGGAGACAUGGACAACACUGAUUGAGGUGUUAGGAAUUUUCCUGCCAACCGAGAUCGUUGGAUCGGCAUGCCUGCAGAUUUCCUCUAUGACUGCCUCAUGAGAGACGACGACCACCCGCUCACC
rnacentral:lncRNA from 1 species